rnacentral:tRNA from 1 species
CCCUGGGUGGUGUAAACAGUUAAGCACUUGGCUACUAACCAAAAGGUUGGUGGUUUGAAUCCACCCAGAGGCA